rnacentral:rRNA from 1 species
CACAAGCUUUCCGUAGGUGAACCUGCGGAAGGAUCAUUGUCGUGACCCUGACCAAAACAGACUGCGCACGCGUCAUCCAAUCCGUCGGCGACGGCACCGUCCGUCGCUCGGCCAAUGCCUCGACCACCUCCCCUCCUCGGAGCGGGUGGGGGCUCGGGGUAAAACAACCCACGGCGCCGAAGGCGUCAAGGAACACUGUGCCUAACCCGGGGGCAUGUCUAGCUUGCUAGCCGUCCCUCGUGUUGCAAAUCUAUUUAAUCCACACGACUCUCGGCAACGGAUAUCUCGGCUCUCGCAUCGAUGAAGAACGUAGCGAAAUGCGAUACCUGGUGUGAAUUGCAGAAUCCCGCGAACCAUCGAGUCUUUGAACGCAAGUUGCGCCCGAGGCCACUCGGCCGAGGGCACGCCUGCCUGGGCGUCACGCCAAAACACGCUCCCAACCACUCUCAACGGGAAUCGGGAUGCGGCAUCUGGUCCCUCGUCUCUCAAGGGACGGUGGACCGAAGAUUGGGCUGCCGGCGUACCGCGCCGGACACAGCGCAUGGUGGGCGUCCUCGCUUUAUCAAUGCAGUGCAUCCGGCGCGCAGCUGGCAUUAUGGCCUUUGAACGACCCAACAAACGAAGCGCACGUCGCUUCGACCGCGACCCCAGGUCAGGCGGGACUACCCGCUGAGUUUAAGCAUAUCAAUAAGCGGAGGAGGAUCCGUG